rnacentral:rRNA from 1 species
CCUACGGGGCGCAGCAGUGGGGAAUAUUGCACAAUGGGGGAAACCCUGAUGCAGCGACGCCGCGUGAGCGAGGAAGUACCUCGGUAUGUAAAGCUCUGUCAGCAGGGAAGAAAAUGACAGUACCUGACCAAGAAGCCCCGGCUAACUACGUGCCAGCAGCCGCGGUAAUACGUAGGGGGCAAGCGUUAUCCGGAUUUACUGGGUGUAAAGGGAGCGUAGGCGGUUCAGCAAGUCAGAAGUGAAAGCCCGGGGCUCAACUCCGGGACUGCUUUUGAAACUGUUGAACUAGAUUGCAGGAGAGGUAA